rnacentral:lncRNA from 1 species
GUUAAUCCUAAUUUUUAAACAUAAUUCUAUUUGUUAAAUGUUGGCAGGCAUAGUGUUGUGAAUUUGAAUUUGGGUGUACAUGAUCUUACUAGCUUCUAAUUCUACUGAGCCAUACGGAUGAUGGUGUGUUUGCUCUCACACAUUUAUUCAAAGGAUCAUUGUGAUGAAUGAUACCAAUUCUAGGUUGCUGGUAAUGCAUUUUCACACCAUCCGUAUGCUUGUGGUAGUCAAUAUGAUACAGGAGCAUUAAUCCGUGGAUUUCGUUUUGGUUUUGACAGGAACUUGCAUCCAAUCCUUCUAUUCCCAACUGGUGAGUUUAUAGGUUGCAGUGUUUGUGGUGGUCUCCUCCUGAUGGAGCUCAGUAUAUGCCCUUCUUGUUUACCUAAAAAUCUCUUCUCUCCUAAGAUCUUGUAGGAAUCUUUCUUUUUUCCUUAAGAAGCAUGCUACCAAUGGACGUCAGAUGUUCCAGCACCGAAAAGUUGGUGACCAUGCUUGGGUGUUUCAGAAUUCAUAUGAAAAGCAUUUAUUUUUUACUUUCAGGGAUUGCUCCAUCUUGCAGUUUAUAAUACGGCUGGACAAUUACGAUUUCACAUAUAUCUGAAAAACCACAGCCCAUCUGUGUUCUAUAAACGUUGGUGUGGUCUUAUGUGCACCAAGAAUUCUGUCAUUAACAUAAGGUAUUUUACACCCGCACUGCAAACUGUUGAUAAAUCUGAUGUGUUGUUUGCACUGAGAAUUCUUACAUUUGCGUAAGGUAUUUUACACUGGCGUUGUGAACUCAUUGACGAUUAGCAUUCAUCAGCUAAGCACACCUUGAUGUACGCAGCUUGUAUAUUAACAGGUCUUCAGAAAGGAGUAUAUCCAGUGUUUCUUCUCCUUACCUGUCACAUGCCACAGCUGUGCGAGGAUGUCGUCGGCCGUGUAUUGGGAGAUGGUGCGGUUGUUCUGCCACCGGCUACUCUCCACAGGAGGAAGCACGUACGCAAGCAUGUAAUGGUCAUUUCUUUUUGUAAUUAGCAUGUAAUGGUCAUUGGGUAGCACACGAUGAUCGAUCCAUAUAGGAUGCUAUUAAUCUGGACUUUCGCAAUCUUUUAAACAGAACGUGAUACCAUAGUAGAUUUGCUAGUUAAUGAUAAAUAAUUGAUGGACAUACGUUCGUAUAGUGCAACCCAAUAGCACGUCUGCACAGUGCAGUUAAGGCUUACUCUUACGUGGCCACUCUUCGGUUUUCUUACAGUCCGGAGGUGCGCACAUGAUGACCACGCCGUAAGUUUACACCGUCAACCUUUUGAUUUUACGGUGGCAGUGGCAGUGGUUGUGGUGUGUGGGUUCCUUUUCAGCCGUAAUCUUACCCCACAUGUUUUCCUUUCUUACGCUCUAGUGCUCUAGAACCUGGCCGUGGGAGAUGGGUGGGGUGAGGAAUAAGAAUUCCUCGCCCAGGGUGACGAAUAGCGCGAAACUCUAUUAGUAAGCCAGGGUGAAGAAUAAGUAAUUCUUCACCCCCGUCGAUCGAGUCAAGUGAUGGUCACCUAAAAUCACAUUCCACCGAUGUAAUUUUACGUGAUGGAAACUGUUGGAUGGUCCUAUGAGCUAGCCCACUCCAUCAUACUAAAAAACAUGCGAGCAUUUUUCUUAUCACUCACCGGCGUUCCUCUCUCCACCGGACCCUUCCUAUCUCGCCAUUGCGGAGGCGGCAGCAGCGACGACGCCGGAGGGACGACCAAGAGGCGAUGGCUACCUCUCUCGUGUGUGGAGUAUUUCCCUUUCCCUCUCUCACGCGGCAGCGAUUUGGAGGCGACGUGGGCACUGCAAAGGUCCGGCGCAAGCUCGGCUGCGACAACGGACUUCUCCGACGCCCCUCUCCACAAUUGGCGGUCCUCCCGCCGGUAAGAAGUCUCUCCUAUUAUUCCUCUCUCAUCCUCCAUUAAUUUCUGAAUUUCUAGGUCAGGGUUACUGGUUUUUGGGAGGGGGUGGGGGUGGGGGGCAAGGGAAGAGGAAGGGAGACCAAGGAAUGAAAUAAAAGAAAUACUGAGAGCUUGUGUAGUACCUGCAAGGAAGAGGGUUAUGGUGUAGACGGGCGUCCGAAGGCAGGAUCAAUUCAAGGAAGGCUUGUUCAGUUAAUCCCUUCUCCAAGGGGAUUGGACGGGUUUGAAGGGGAUUGGGAGUAUUUUGACUUACAUGGGAUUUAAUCCCUCACAAAGCCCUGCAAUCCCCUUCAAAUCAAAUGCCGGAGGGGAGGGGGGAGGCCAUGUGAGUUGUAUCAAACUGUGGAUAAGGAUGAACAACACUACAACAUCAAACUACGAUCCAGUUGAGAUCGAUUUUUGUUUCUCAUGGGGCAUGUGAAUUCUCUCUGCAAUUUUGCUUUUCUGUAAAAUUCACCUUCAAAAAAUUGCACGAAUUCGCAACCUUGUAGCUAUGAAUGAUGCUUCUGAAUGUUAGUAAUGCUGUACAUAAAGAACCAGCCAGUACCUAGGUGACAAUACUAUUUCUCCAUGAAUUUGUUAGUGGAAAUAUGCACAAACUUACGAGCUUCAAAUCAGAGCGGGAUUUUGUUUACACGAAAUUUAGUUUUAUGCUAUUCUUAAGACAAGAUUCGAAGUGAUGACACCAGCCUUAUCCUUUGUGAAUUUAUUAGGCAAAUGAGGAUUGAAAUUCUGCCAAGAAAUCUUAGAGCAGAAGAUGUUUGCAAGGGACUUGGAAGACGAGGGAAUGCUGCGCAGGCGAGAAAAUGGCAAGUACGUUGUACUCACGGUUAGGCACAGAAGAAUAUAUUGUCACCAUAAGUUGGAUGAGAAAAUAUACCUUGUUAAUUAGUUUUUGAUCCUUCAAACAUGGCCAGCGUCCUUACCAUUCGAGCUCCGUGACUGGGAGUUCCCCUUGGUGUAUUUACGUACCACUUAACAAUAAUUAAACCAGUUGCUCGUAAUAUGAUUAAGGCAUGUGAUUAAUCUGUUUGGCUGAAUUUAUUCAUAGGGAAAAUCAUCAGGUUGUGAGCAGAUGUCUAAAUGAUCUGUUUCCAUUGCACAUAUGUCAAUAAGCAAUACAAAUUAGCGACCCUUUAAAUUAAGGGCGCUAUCCUUUCUUCUGGUCAAUUACCUAGUGUUAAUGUCUUAUCUUGUGUGUACAAUAUGUUAUUCUCUGUUCAGCUCACUAGCAUGACCAAUGUUAAUUAUUCAGUACGCUAAUGAAAUUCAAAAAUAAAAAAGCAUGUUAUAUGAUUAAUUUAAUUUUCUUGUUUCAUGCAGUUUGGAGAAAUUCGUGGUUACCACCAGUCUCGAGUUAGAUUUAUUUCAAUUGCAACCAGGUACACGUACACUGGACCCUCUUCCUGGCUGUCUCUCUAAACUGUUUUUGUUGAACUAGCAUAAACCUAACUUUUGAUAGUAAAGAUGUGUUUCCGCCCAAUUCAUACAGUAAGCCAUGAUAGUUACUUGGUACCGGUCAUCAAUUAGUCAAUCUCAUUCUUCCCUUACUAUUGAUUUGUAUUGGCUUAACUACCGAAGACAAAAAUUUCCCUUUUACCCCUAAUAGUGGUCGAUUUGCUCCUUCCAGGGAGGUCUAUAUUUGGCUAACUGUCUAUCGGCUAGAGAAGUAGUGUCAAUCAGUGAAUAUUUUUAUUCUUAUGCCUUAUCUGAAUAUAGCUUUAGAAAUUCUUAACAUGGAAUACAUAAUAUACUUUAUCUGUAUGUGGUUAAUCCUAAUUUUUAAACAUAAUUCUAUUUGUUAAAUGUUGGCAGGCAGAGUGUUGUGAAUUUGAAUUUGGGUGUGCAUGAUCUUACUAGCUUCUAAUUCUACUGAGCCAUACGGAUGAUGGUGUGUUUGCUCUCACACAUUUAUUCAAAGGAUCAUUGUGAUGAAUGAUACCAAUUCUAGGUUGCUGGUAACGCAUUUUCACACCAUCCGUAUGCUUGUGGUAGUCAAUAUGAUACAGGAGCAUUAAUCCGUGGAUUUCGUUUUGGUUUUGACAGGAACUUGCAUCCAAUGCUUCUAUUCCCAACUGGUGAGUUUAUAGGUUGCAGUGUUUGUGGUGGUCUCCUCCUGAUGGAGCUCAGUAUAUGCCCUUCUUGUUUACCUAAAAAUCUCUUCUCUCCUAAGAUCUUGUAGGAAUCUUUCUUUUUUCCUUAAGAAGCAUGCUACCAAUGGACGUCAGAUGUUCCAGCACCGAAAAGUUGGUGACCAUGCUUGGGUGUUUUAGAAUUCAUAUGAAAAGCAUUUAUUUUUUACUUUCAGGGAUUGCUCCAUCUUGCAGUUUCUAAUAUGGCUGGACAAUUACGAUUUCACAUAUAUCUGAAAAACCACAGCCCAUCUGUGUUCUAU